CAACUCUGAGAACAGGCUGGGGGCGCUGCAUGGGACCCCUUCAGAAAACUGCCCCAGGGACCAGCCCCUUCUCCCUGCCUGCCAAAGGCCCCCACAGCAACUUCCACCCAGGCCCUGUCAGCAUCCUGUCCUCUGUCUCUAGGAGGUCCGAGUUCUGCAGGAAAUGCAGCUGCUCCAAGUGGCUGCCAUGAAUUACAGGCUUCGGCCUCUUGAGAAAUUUGUCACCUAUUUCACAAGAAUGGAGCAGCUCAGUGACAAAGAGAGGCUGCACUGCAGUGUCACCAUCUCUGUUCACUGCAACGUCUGCCUUCUGGGCUCAAGUCCUUCCUCAGCCUCCCAAGCAGCUGGGACUACCGCUGUACACCACCAUGUCCGGUUGUUCUGCUGUUGUUGU
rnacentral:lncRNA from 1 species